rnacentral:rRNA from 1 species
AUCUAUGGCCAUACCACUCAGAACAUGCCCGAUCUCAUCUGAUCUUGGAAGCUAAACAAGGUUAGGCCUGGUUAGUACUUGGAUGGGAGAAGGUCUAGGAAUCAGAGGGGUAACCAGGGUUGCUCUAGGGC